CCGGGCCGCGUCAGUCCAUGGGGUCGCGCCGCUCGCCUCCGCCCUGUGGGGGUCUGCACACAAUAGGGGGAAAGCGUGUUUAGGGAACCUCAGCGCUUGCCAGGUCAAGCGAGAGGCCAGUUCCCCUUUGUUGGGAGAGGGCGAGGGAAGAAAGACGGUCAUCAAAUAUCCUCCUUGUGAUAGUUUAGGGGCCUGGACAGCUCAGGAGCCCGCUGGCCCACCGUGGGGACUGGGGACUCUGCGGGACGUGUGCCUACGGGCUGUCGGGGCGCCGCGGGGAACGCGCUUUCUUUAUAGUAUUUACGGGAGAAGUGGACCCUGCCCUCUCCGCGUCCUGCUGUGAGGGGGCUGUGGCCGGGGUGCCAAAGAGCGGCGACCACGGGCGGGACAGCGAGGGCCAGGAGCCGGGCGCUUCUAGGGGGAUGCCUCUAACCUGGGCUCGCCCUAACGAGGUGGUGGCGGCCCCCCGCGCAUGCACCUAGCGGUCGCCUCAGCGGCGGUGGUUUCAGAGGACAUCUGAAGUAUCUCUUCUGCAAGGGAAUGCAGAUAAAAGCAGCCUGCAGAAUGGGCGGACUUCACCUAACACCCAGUAUACGCCACGCCAAGCCACCGAAGCCAGAGAUGUGUGUGUGUCUGGGGUCACAGACGUGUAUUCGCUCAGCAAGGCCGGCCUUAGACGCAAACGCCAGCACCGCCACCCUGUCGCCCGCUGAGAGGAUCUGGCCGCCAACGCCGGAGCGGGGGAAGGCGGGGGGACAACAAAAAACCCCAGCAUAAUGGACAUCCCCAGUGACGGUUGGGUUUUUUCCCCCCCCAGUCAGCCGAGAAAACA
rnacentral:lncRNA from 1 species